rnacentral:rRNA from 1 species
CUAGUACGAGAGGACCGGAGUGGACGCAUCACUGGUGUUCGGGUUGUCAUGCCAAUGGCACUGCCCGGUAGCUAAAUGCGGAAGAGAUAAGUGCUGAAAGCAUCUAAGCACGAAACUUGCCCCGAGAUGAGUUCUCCCUGACUCCUUGAGAGUCCUGAAGGAACGUUGAAGACGACGACGUUGAUAGGCCGGGUGUGUAAGCGCAGCGAUGCGUUGAGCUAACCGGUACUAAUGAACCGUGAGGCUUAACCUUACAACGCCGAAGGUGUUU